rnacentral:rRNA from 1 species
UUCCAGCUCCAAUAGCAUAUGCUAAUGUUGUUGCGGUUAAAAAGCUCGUAGUCUGAGUUGUGUCCAGCGCUGCCGGUCCGCAGCAUGCCUGUGUUGACUGUGUAUGUCGUCUGGACGUCCUUGCCGGACGCGGAAGGAAGCCGAAAGAGGCCGCUCUCGUGGUGCAAUUGCGCUUCGUUGAGCGGUUUCCUAGGCGACCCCGCACAUGAGGUCCCGACCUGGUGCUCUUAAUCGAGUGCCUAGGAGGGCCGGCACUCUUACUUUGAACAAACUCGAGUGCUCAAAGCUGGCCCUUCGGCCUAGUCGCUGUGUGCAUGGAAUAAUGGAAUAGGACUUCGGUUCUAUUUGGUUGGUUCUACGAACCGAGGUAAUGAUCAAAAGGAGCAGUUGGGGGCAUUCGUAUUGCGACGUUAGAGGUGAAAUUCUUGGAUCGUCGCAGGACGGACAAAAGCGAAAGCAUUUGCCAAGGAUGUUUUCAUUGAUCAAGAGCGAAAGUUGGAGGAUCGAAGGCGAUCAGAUACCGCCCUAGUUCUAACCAUAAAUUAUGCCAACCAGCUAUGCGCCGAAGUCGCGUUUGACUCGGCGUGGAGCUUCCGGGAAACCAGAGUUUUCAGGUUCCGGGGGAAGUAUGGUUGCAAAGCUGAAACUUAAAGGAAUUGACGGAAGGGCACCACAAGGAGUGGAGCCUGCGGCUUAAUUUGACUCAACACGGGGAAACUUACCAGGGCAGGACAUACGAAGGAUUGACAGAUUGAAGAUCUUUCUUGAUUGUGUGCAUGGUGGUGCAUGGCCGUUCCUAGUUCGUGGGGUGGCUUGUCUAGUUAAUUCUGAUAACGAGCGAGAUUCUAACUGCUAAAUAGACCAAUGAGAUCCCUUCGGGGCUAUCUGAGAAUGAAUCUUCUUAGUAGGAUUUUUGGCCUAGAGCCAAAUGAGAAUAGAACCAUAACAGGUCUGUGAUGCCCUUAGAUGUCCUGGGCUGCACGCGUGCUACAAUGAAAGAAGCAGCGUGAAAAAUCCUAGUCCGAGAGGUCUUGGUAAUCAGAUGAAAUUCUUUCAUGCAGGGGAUAGGGGCUUGCAAUUAGCCCCUUGAACAAGGAAUUCCCAGUAGGUGCGAGUCACGAUUCCGCUCCGAUUGAGUCCCUGUCCUUUGUACACACCGCCCGUCGCUACUACCGAUUGAAUGGUCUAGUGAGGUCUUCGGACCGACGUUCCCUGUCCUAAGGGGCCAGAACGUUGGGAGGCUGACCGAACUUGAUCGUUUAGAGGAAGUAAAAGUCGUAACAAGGUUUCCGUAGGUG